rnacentral:rRNA from 1 species
CCUACGGGUGGCAGCAGUGAGGAAUAUUGGUCCAUGGACGCAAGUCUGAACCAGCCAAGCCGCGUGCAGGAAGACGGCUCUAUGAGUUGUAAACUGCUUUUGUACGAGGGUAAACGCAUACACGCGUAUCUUUCUGAAAGUAUCGUACGAAUAAGGAUCGGCUAACUCCGUGCCAGCAGCCGCGGUAAUACGGAGGAUACAAGCGUUAUCCGGAUUUAUUGGGCUUAAAGGGAACGUAGGCGGGCGUUCAAGUCAGCUGUAAAAUCGGGCGGCUCAACCGCGCCCCGCAGUUGAAACUGGACGCCGUGAGUACACAACAGGCAGGCGGAAUUCGUGGUGUAGCGGUGAAAUGCAUAGAUAUCACGAGGAACCCCGAUUGCGAAGGCAGCCUGCCGGGGUGCGACUGACGCUGAGGCUCGAAGGUGCGGGUAUCAAACAGGAUUAGAUACCCUUGUAGUC